AACGAACGCUGGCGGCAGGCUUAACACAUGCAAGUCGAACGGGUGUAGCAAUACAUCAGUGGCAGACGGGUGAGUAACACGUGGGAACCUUCCUCGUUGUACGGGACAACUCAGGGAAACUUGAGCUAAUACCGUAUACGUCCGAGAGGAGAAAGAUUUAUCGCAAUGAGACGGGCCCGCGUCGGAUUAGCUAGUUGGUGGGUAACGGCCUACCAAGGCGACGAUCCGUAGCUGAUCUGAGAGGAUGAUCAGCCACACUGGGACUGAGACACGGCCCAGACUCCUACGGGAGGCGGCAGUGGGGAAUCUUGGACAAUGGGCGCAAGCCUGAUCCAGCCAUGCCGCGUGAGUGAAGAAGGCCUUAGGGUUGUAAAGCUCUUUUGCCAGGGACGAUAAUGACGGUACCUGGAGAAUAAGCCCCGGCAAACUUCGUGCCAGCAGCCGCGGUAAU
rnacentral:rRNA from 1 species